rnacentral:rRNA from 1 species
UACGAAUGGGGCAAGCGUUGUUCGGAAUCACUGGGCGUAAAGCGUGUGUAGGCGGUUAAUCAAGUCAGAAGUGAAAUCCCAGGGCUUAACCCUGGAAUUGCUUUUGAAACUGAUUGGCUAGAGUACUGGAGAGGUUAGCAGAAUUCCGAGUGUAGAGGUGAAAUUCGCAGAUAUUCGGAGGAAUACCAGUGGCGUAAGCGGCUAACUGGACAGUAACUGACGCUGAGACACGAAAAGCGUGGGGAUCAAACAGGA